rnacentral:rRNA from 1 species
UAACGCGUAAGGAACUUGCCUCUUGGUCUGGGACAACUGUUGGAAACGACAGCUAAUACCGGAUAUUAUGAGAUUCUCGCAUGGGAAACUUAUGAAAGCUAUAUGCGCCAAGAGAGAGCCUUGCGUUCCAUUAGCUAGUUGGUGGGGUAACGGCCCACCAAGGCGACGAUGGAUAGCCGGCCUGAGAGGGUGAACGGCCACAAGGGGACUGAGACACGGCCCUUACUCCUACGGGAGGCAGCAGUGGGGAAUAUUGGACAAUGGGCCACAAGCCUGAUCCAGCAAUUCUGUGUGCACGAUGAAGGUCUUCGGAUUGUAAAGUGCUUUCAGUUGGGAAGAAGAAAGUGACGGUACCAACAGAAGAAGCGACGGCUAAAUACGUGCCAGCAGCCGCGGUAAUACGUAUGUCGCAAGCGUUAUCCGGAUUUAUUGGGCGUAAAGCGCGUCUAGGCGGAAAAAUAAGUCUGAUGUUAAAAUGCGGGGCUCAACUCCGUAUUGCGUUGGAAACUGUUUUUCUAGAGUACUGGAGAGGUGGGCGGAACUACAAGUGUAGAGGUGAAAUUCGUAGAUAUUUGUAGGAAUGCCGAUGGAGAAGUCAGCUCACUGGACAGAUACUGACGCUAAAGCGCGAA